AUUGAACGCUGGCGGCAGGCCUAACACAUGCAAGUCGAACGAGUGGCGGACGGGUGAGUAAUGUCUGGGAAACUGCCCGAUGGAGGGGGAUAACUACUGGAAACGGUAGCUAAUAACGCAUACCAUCGGAUGUGCCCAGAAGGGAUUAGCGAGACGGGGGGGUAAAGGCUCACCAAGGCGACGAUGCCGAGCUGGACUGAGAGGAUGACCAGCCACCCUGGAACUGAGACACGGUCCAGACUCCUACGGGAGGCAGCAGUGGGGACUAUUGCACACUGGGCGCAAGCCGGAUUCAGCCAUGCCGCGUGUAUGAAGAAGGCCUUCGGGUUGUAAAGUAUUUUCAGCGAGGAGGCGUUACUCGCAGAAGAAGCACCGGCUAACUCCGUGCCAGCAGCAGCGGUAAUUC
rnacentral:rRNA from 1 species